CUGCAACUCGCCUGCAUGAAGUCGGAAUUGCUAGUAAUCGCGGAUCAGCAUGCCGCGGUGAAUACGUUCCCGGGCCUUGUACACACCGCCCGUCACACCAUGGGAGUCGGUAACACCCGAAGCCGAUAGUCUAACGAAAGAGGACGUCGUCGAAGGUGGGAUUGAUGACUGGGGUGAAGUCGUAACAAGGUACC
rnacentral:rRNA from 1 species